GAGUUUGAUCAUGGCUCAGAACGUACGCUGGCGGCACGCCUAACACAUGCAAGUCGAACGAAGUAGCAAUACUUAGUGGCAGACGGGUGAGUAACAUGUAGGUAUCUGCCCUUUGGCCUGGAAUAACACGAGGAAACUUGUGCUAAUACCGGAUAAGUCUUUACGGAGAAAGCUUUAUGCACCAUUGGAUGAGCCUGCACUUGAUUAGUUUGUUGGUGGGGUAAUGGCCUACCAAGACUUUGAUCAAUAGCUGAUUUGAGAGGAUGAUCAGCCACAUUGGGACUGAGACACGGCCCAAACUCCUACGGGAGGCAGCAGUGGGGAAUCUUGCACAAUGGAGGAAACUCUGAUGCAGCGAUGCCGCGUGAGUGAAGAAGGCCCUUGGGUUGUAAAGCUCUUUCGUCGGGGAAGAAAAUGACUGUACCCGAAUAAGAAGGCCCGGCUAACUUCGUGCCAGCAGCCGCGGUAAUACGAAGGGACCUAGCGUAGUUCGGAAUUACUGGGCUUAAAGAGUUCGUAGGUGGUUGAAAAAGUUGGUGGUGAAAUCCCAGAGCUUAACUCUGGAACUGCCAUCAAAACUUUUCAGCUAGAGUAUGAUAGAGGAAAGCAGAAUUUCUAGUGUAGAGGUGAAAUUCGUAGAUAUUAGAAAGAAUACCAAUCGCGAAGGCAGCUUUCUGGAUCAUUACUGACACUGAGGAACGAAAGCAUGGGUAGCGAAGAGGAUUAGAUACCCUCGUAGUCCAUGCCGUAAACGAUGUGUGUUAGACGUUGGAAAUUUAUUUUCAGUGUCGCAGCGAAAGCGAUAAACACACCGCCUGGGGAGUACGACCGCAAGGUUAAAACUCAAAUGAAUUGACGGGGACCCGCACAAGUAGUGGAGCAUGUGGUUUAAUUCGAAGAUACGCGCAGAACCUUACCAACACUUGACAUGUUCGUCGCGACUCUAAGAGAUUAGAGUUUUCGGUUCGGCCGGACGAAACACAGGUGCUGCAUGGCUGUCGUCAGCUCGUGUCGUGAGAUGUUGGGUUAAGUCCCGCAACGAGCGCAACCCUCACUUUUAGUUGCCAUCAUUAAGUUGGGCACUCUGAAAGAACUGCCAGUGAUAAGCUGGAGGAAGGUGGGGAUGACGUCAAGUCCUCAUGGCCCUUACGUGUUGGGCUACACACGUGCUACAAUGGUAUCUACAACAGGAAGCAAGACGGCGACGUUAAGCAAAUCCUUAAAAGAUACCUCAGUUCGGAUUGCACUCUGCAACUCGAGUGCAUGAAGCUGGAAUUACUAGUAAUCGUGGAUCAGCGUGCCACGGUGAAUGCGUUCCCGGGUCUUGUACACACCGCCCGUCACACCAUGGGAGUUGGUUCUACCUUAAGGCAAGGUUUAAUACCCUUGACCACGGUAUAGUCAGCGACUGGGGUGAAGUCGUAACAAGGUAACC
rnacentral:rRNA from 1 species